rnacentral:rRNA from 1 species
GACGAACGCUGGCGGCGUGCUUAACACAUGCAAGUCGAACGGUGAAGCGCCUUCCUUUUUGGUGGGUGUGGAUGAGUGGCGAACGGGUGAGUAACACGUGAGUAACCUGCCCCCUUCUUCUGGAUAACCGCAUGAAAGUGUGGCUAAUACGGGAUAUUCUGGGUCUGUCGCAUGAUGGGUCUGGGAAAGAUAUUGUUUCGGUGGGGGAUGGGCUCGCGGCCUAUCAGCUUGUUGGUGGGGUGAUGGCCUACCAAGGCGGUGACGGGUAGCCGGCCUGAGAGGGUGGACGGUCACACUGGGACUGAGACACGGCCCAGACUCCUACGGGAGGCAGCAGUGGGGAAUAUUGCACAAUGGGCGCAAGCGUGAUGCAGCGACGCCGCGUGAGGGAUGGAGGCCUUCGGGUUGUGAACCUCUUUCGCCAGUGAAGCAGGCCUGCCUCGUUUGUGGGUGGGUUGACGGUAGCUGGAUAAGAAGCGCCGGCUAACUACGUG